CUUCAAAGAGAGAGCGGCUUUAACUUACAACUGUGAAUUGCUUAAAGAGAAAAGAAUUAAUAAAUGCUGAUUUACUCUGAUGAUUAUUUAGCACAUAAUUCACCUAUUCAUAACGACUCCUAGUAAUCAGACUGUUGUCUUACAUUCUCCAAUAUGAGGCAAGAUUGUUUCCUCAGCAAUUUUACCCUUAUCAGAUUAUCUCGUCUGAUUCGAUUAAUUUUCUUCCAUGAAUCUGCUAACAGUGAUUUGUGAUUUACUUGCCCUGCUCACUAAAGACUGUUAAAAGGAUUUCUCUAACACUCCAGCUAAGAACACGCCAUGCCUCAUCAUUCAGUUCCUCUGAACAACUCUUUCCUCAAAUCGAUUCAGUUGGUUUCAGAGUGAAAUUCAGUGGACACUGGUUAGUUCUGUACCGUAAAAUCAGCUCCUGGAUAAACAGAGAGUUCAGACGCUACCCUUGAUGCAUUUUGUUCUUUUUAGGUUAUAUAUGUCUCAUUCCAACAUGAUACACCUGAACAGUGGUAACUCACAAUCAGGAAGACCAUAUUAUUUUUCACUUUGAAUCAUUAUAAUUUGGAUGUAAACAGGGUUUGAAUUUUUUUUUUUUUUUUUUUUGCAUGAAGUUGUUAUGUACGUACUGACAUGAAACCAACACUGUUUUUGAUGUGAGGGUUUCACAAUCUCCUACGUGAUUCGACCCAUGCCCUCCUCCCUCCCACCAAAUUCCUCUAUAAAGAUUCACUGCUUUCAGAAAGUUGAAUGCUACUGGUUUGAAUUGGUCAAUAAUGACAAACGCGUGGUUUCUAAAUUACUCUAUAUUGUUCUACAGAGAUUACCAGAGUAUAUAUAGCACGGGGGUAUUAAGCAGUAAGAAAACACAGUUCAUAUUGUAUUUGGAUUAUAUUGGCUAGGAGAGAAGUGAAACAAACAGUGUUAGCAAAGAAAUCUAAAGAAAUGCGGCCUGCUGUAAUUGUAGAGAUUCAAAAACCUGAAUAGUACUAAUUAAAAUGAGAGAGCUCAAUUGUUACAAGAGAAACGCUGCUAACAGAGGACUGUAAAUGUUUAGACACCCCUGUGAGUCACCAAAUAAUAAAGGAAAAAGGACAAAAAUGAGAAUUAAGUUAUAAGCCUGGGAGCACCACUGCUCCAUGUCGAAAAAAUAAUUUGUAUCUUUUUUUUUUUCCAAGAGAAAAUGGGAGACUAUAAAAGACUCUGCAGUGAGAGAAAGAAAAAUACCCUGGCUUGACAGCAGUGUACAAAAAUAAAAUGUGCAGAUAAUAAUACAUUUAGCUGCCCAAACAUGGGCAUUUAAUUUCUAGAAAUGAUACAUAAUUGCAACAAUUAGGUGCAUGGCCAUGAAUCUGUAUCUCAAGAUCUUCCUCAUUAGUGAACUUUGUUUAUAAAUGUUGUUUAUUUAUAAAUGUAGCAGUUUCAGUGUUCCUAACCAAAAAUACUUUGAUGGGCGGCAGGGAUCUAUCUCACAGCUUUUAUCAAAAAUCAGAUGCAAAAGAAUUAAAGCAAAAAUUGUAAUAAAAAUGAAUUAAUUCUUCCUAAGUAUACUGAAAUUCAUAUUUUACAUUAAAAUAUAAACUUCAAGCAUUUGUGGCUAAUAACUUUAAAAAGACUUAGAAAAGUAUUGCUAUAGACAAUGCUAAUGACAUAAUAUGUUUAUGUAAUUUAAGCAGUAAAUUUUUCCUCUGAAUACAUAAGCUGUAAUCCCUUAACUUCAUUACUAGGUGAAAUACUGCUUGACAGAGGAAAGCAAAGAGAUUCUGUGAGGCUGCAUAAAUAUUGACAUAAUCUUCACUCUUUCUUCCCCAAACUGGUUAUGGACAUAUCUCAUUCCAUCCUAACAAAGUACUCCCAUAAAACCCAAGCUACUCUUAUAAACAUCGUCUCUGCAGUAAUGAUGAAAAGAAAAAGUGCUUUUCUGGAAAAUACCAACAGUGCUGGCCUUUUAGGGUAAGGACUUGCCUACAAGCCUUUUGGGGAGUCACUCCUUAGGGAUUCCCGGGUUUGCUGAAAGCCAAGGCUGCCAGCAUGAGAGAAAUGAACACAAGUCUAAUCUGGUGUAUGAAGCCAGUGAGUGACACCUCAGGUCUCAUUAUAAAUAGUAAAGUAUGCAGUCGGGUGGGUGAGAGCAUUCUGAAGUGCAAUGUUCAAGAAACUGGCUUAAUAUAUGACUAAGUGUCAGAAGUCAGGUUUUCUGAGAAUUACUUUUCAGAUAAACAACUUUAUAGCACUGCACUUAAUCUUACUUACUAGAGACAUCUCAUUUAUCACUGAAUUACAAGUAACUUUAAUUCUAUUGAUAUUGCCAUAAAGCCCGUUGAAAAUGCAUCCUGGCACUUUUUAAAAAAAGGGUUUGGGGCCCAGUUUGUUACACGGGAUCCUCUUGCAUAAGUCUCCCGGGUCCCCUGGGCUCUUUCUCCACAGUCAAAGGGGACGGUGGGGGAAAAGAAAUGUUCCCCCGCACCUGCCAUCACUGCCUUCAGCCCUUUUCCUGACAAAGUCUGGUUCUCCCACUUGCAGCCAAACUAACUUUCCGCCCCUCUUUCCUCCUCCCACCUAGGGAAACCAGCUUCUUUUCCUUUCAUCAACACAACUGGACACGGAUCAAUUUCAACUGACCUUUGCCGAAAGGUGGCGCUGUUGAGGUACCCAAGGGAAUCCUCUACAUCAGUGAUGUGAAAAUUCCUGUUGCCCGAAGUCAAAGAGAUGUUCCUGACAUUCUCUCAGACCCACCUGGAUGCAUCCGAGCCUUAGCAGAGCCGCCCUGGGCAGGGCAGGUGGGACGCACACACACACACACACAGGGCAGAGGCCUGUUUGUGGCUCUCCCGCUGCCCGUGGGAGAUUCCUGAUGGAAUCUGUAUAAACAGCUCUGCCCCGGGUUCUAAGUGCCCAUCAGGUUUUCUCUCUCCCCAAUCUCACAGUUAGCUGGAAAUGUUUUAUGCUGACUGUACCAUCGCCAAUGUGAAUUCUAACCAACGUAAGGGAGGCUUUCCUCUGUUACGAGCUGGGUUAUAAACAAAAACACAGUAAAAGGACUCCGGAAUCUCGUUUCUAUUUUGUAUAACGUGUCCUCCCACACCGCUGCCCGUGAUCACCCAGAAAUAAAAUGCAAGCAUGGAUGCCUGAUGUCCAGUGUCCAUGUGGGCUCCUGAGCACAGCUGUUUAAUUCAGACAUAGAAUUACAGAUGCUGUUACCGUUAUUUCCCUCGCAGAGUCCAUCAAUGUAUUUUGACAGAAAUGGUGAAUCAGGUGUUCUCAGGCAAAGGCCGUGUGAAACACACAGGACGCAAGCGUUCCCUUCUCAUUGCCUGUGUUUGAAAAGCCCGCGUGAGAACAGUGGCUGGUCUGGACCCUGGCUUCACUGCAGACCCUUCAGGGCCUCUCAGUACUCAGCUUGCAGAGUAAGUGCCCCACCACGGAGGACAGCAAAGAGUCGGGUGCUGCCUGGCAUGCAGAUUUGGAGAGUGGACCAACCCCUCAGAGAUUCCAGGAGUGUGUCUUAAGCAGAUGACAUCACAGUAUGUGCUGGCACUGAGAAAGGAAGGGGAAAUAAUUCUGUUUAAACUGUUUUAGUACCGGGGCUUCCCUCAUCAAAUUGUUUGUUGUUGUUGUUUGUUUAGAUAGCCACCCCCCUUCCCACACAAGGCUGCUUAAUGUCCUUUCCGUGGACACUGGCCCCACUAGUGAGCAGGUUUAAUCAAUCAAUUACGGCAAAGCAAGUACAGGGCAACCAGCUUAAUGAAGUCCCAUUAUUUUCAGUGAUCCUUAGGAUGCUAUUGAAGGGGCUAUCUUAAAGAAAGAAACAUUAUGCAUUCAUUUGGUGGGGGCAGGUGGGUGGGGGGGCGGUGGGGGGAGAAGGAUUUUUGCACACGAGUAUAGCACUUGUUAUUUAAAACAAAAUGAUGCUUCUGUCAAGAGCAUUCCUUCUAAAAGCACACAUUCAGUCACCUGCCAGAAUCUCAGAUUUAUUGCUGCCGUUCACAGAUGCCAAUGUUGAAACUCUCUUCGCCUCCAGCUUGCUGAGUCUUUCGUUUCCUCGAUCCAAAAAUCACUGUAAAGUUGUUGUUUAGUGUCUGCAUUUUUUGCUUUUCCUGGCACCUAAUGAAAUUAUCAGCAAUAAAUGAGCUAUGCAGAA